UGGGGAAUUUUGGACAAUGGGCGCAAGCCUGAUCCAGCAAUGCCGCGUGCAGGAUGAAGGCCUUCGGGUUGUAAACUGCUUUUGUACGGAACGAAAAGCCUCUCUCUAAUACAGGGGGGUGAUGACGGUACCGUAAGAAUAAGCACCGGCUAACUACGUGCCAGCAGCCGCGGUAAUACGUAGGGUGCAAGCGUUAAUCGGAAUUACUGGGCGUAAAGCGUGCGCAGGCGGUUUUGUAAGACAGUGGUGAAAUCCCCGGGCUCAACCUGGGAACUGCCAUUGUGACUGCAAGGCUGGAGUGCGGCAGAGGGGGGAUGGAAUUCCGCGUNUAGCGUGAAAUGCGUAGAUAUGCGGAGGAACACCGAUGGCGAAGGCAAUCCCCUGGGCCUGCACUGACGCUCAUNCACGAAAGCGUGGGGAGCAAACAGAUUAGAUACCCUGGUAGUCCACGCCCUAAAACGAUGUCAACUGGUUGUUGGGGAUUUAUUUCUUCAAGU
rnacentral:rRNA from 1 species